GCCAGACUCCUACGGGAGGCAGCAGUGGGGAAUAUUGCACAAUGGGGGAAACCCUGAUGCAGCGACGCCGCGUGAGUGAAGAAGUAUUUCGGUAUGUAAAGCUCUAUCAGCAGGGAAGAAAAUGACGGUACCUGACUAAGAAGCCCCGGCUAACUACGUGCCAGCAGCCGCGGUAAUACGUAGGGGGCAAGCGUUAUCCGGAUUUACUGGGUGUAAAGGGAGCGUAGACGGCAGCGCAAGUCUGAAGUGAAAUUCCAUGGCUUAACCAUGGAACUGCUUUGGAAACUGUGCAGCUGGAGUGCAGGAGAGGUAAGCGGAAUUCCUAGUGUAGCGGUGAAAUGCGUAGAUAUUAGGAGGAACACCAGUGGCGAAGGCGGCUUACUGGACUGUAACUGACGUUGAGGCUCGAAAGCGUGGGGAGCAAACAGGAUUAGAUACCCUAGUAC
rnacentral:rRNA from 1 species